GAUGAAGAACGUAGCGAAAUGCGAUAAGUAAUGUGAAUUGCAGAAUUCUGUGAAUCAUCGAAUCUUUGAACGCACAUUGCGCCCCUUGGUAUUCCGAGGGGCAUGCCUGUUCGAGCGUCAUUAUAACCCUCAAGCUCAGCUUGGUGUUGGGGCCUGCUGCAGUGGCAGCCCUUAAAAUCAGUGGCGGCGCCAUCUGGCUCUAAGCGUAGUAAUUCUUCUCGCUAUGGAGUCCUGGUGGAUGCUUGCCAUCAACCCCCAAUUUUUCUAUGGUUGACCUCGGAUCAGGUAGGGAUACCCGCUGAACUUAAGCAUAUCAAUAAGCGGAGGA
rnacentral:misc_RNA from 1 species